rnacentral:rRNA from 1 species
GAGUCGCUAGUAAUCGCGGAUCAGCAACGCCGCGGUGAAUGCGUUCCCGGGCCUUGUACACACCGCCCGUCAAGUCAUGAAAGUGGGUAGCACCCGAAGCCGGUGGCCCGACCCUCGUGGGGGGAGCCGUCUAAGGUGAGACUCGUGAUUGGGACUAAGUCGUAACAAGGUACC